GACGAACGCUGGCGGCGUGCUUAACACAUGCAAGUCGAACGGAAAGGCCCUGCUAUUGUGGGGUGCUCGAGUGGCGAACGGGUGAGUAACACGUGAGUAACCUGCCCUUGACUUUGGGAUAACUUCAGGAAACUGGGGCUAAUACCGGAUAGGAGCUCCUGCUGCAUGGUGGGGGUUGGAAAGUUUCGGCGGUUGGGGAUGGACUCGCGGCUGAUCAGCUUGUUGGUGGGGUAGUGGCUUACCAAGGCGUUGACGGGUAGCCGGCCUGAGAGGGUGACCGGCCACAUUGGGACUGAGAUACGGCCCAGACUCCUACGGGAGGCAGCAGUGGGGAAUAUUGCACAAUGGGCGGAAGCCUGAUGCAGCAACGCCGCGUGCGGGAUGACGGCCUUCGGGUUGUAAACCGCUUUCGCCUGUGACGAAGCGUGAGUGACGGUAAUGGGUAAAGAAGCGCCGGCUAACUACGUG
rnacentral:rRNA from 1 species